rnacentral:rRNA from 1 species
UACGAAGGGGGCUAGCGUUGUUCGGAAUUACUGGGCGUAAAGGGCGCGUAGGCGGUGUGUCAAGUCAGGCGUGAAAGCCCCGGGCUCAACCUGGGAACAGCGCUUGAGACUGGCACGCUCGAGUUCGGGAGAGGAUGGUGGAAUUCCCAGUGUAGCGGUGAAAUGCGCAGAUAUUGGGAAGAACACCAGUGGCGAAGGCGGUUCUCUGGGACGGUACUGACGCUGAGACGCGAAAGCGUGGGGAGCGAACAGG